rnacentral:rRNA from 1 species
UACAGAGGGUGCGAGCGUUGUCCGGAAUCACUGGGCGUAAAGGGCGCGUAGGUGGCCCGACAAGUCCGUGGUGAAAGCUCGACGCUCAACGUCGAGUCGGCCAUGGAUACUGUUGGGCUGGAGCACUGUAGAGGCUCAUGGAAUUCCGGGUGUAGCGGUGGAAUGCGUAGAGAUCUGGAGGAACACCGAUGGCGAAGGCAGCCUUCUGGGCCAACACUGACGCUCAUGCACGAAAGCGUGGGGAGCAAACAGG